AUGGCGCGGCGGCGCCGCCGUCGCGCGUUCGGCGGCCGCCCGGAGCUCCGCCUGGCCUACGGCUCCCGCGCCCGCCCGCUCGGCCGCGCGAUCCUCGCGCUGCUGCCCCCGCCCCCGCCCCCCGGCGCCCCCUGCCCCGUCUGCCGCGGCGCGGCCUCCGGGUGCCUCGCGUGCCGCCGCUGGGCGCACCUCCUCCGCGACGGCGACCCCGUCGCGUACCGCCGCCUCGUCACCCGCGCCGUCUGCGCCGUCGAGCCCGUGCCGGCCGCGCCCCUGCCGCCGCAGUAUACCCCAGGGAACGCCGGGCACUCGCAGGCACAGCUCGUUCGGGAGACGAUAAAGUGGAUCUUGACGGAUCGGUCCUGUAGAACCAAGAACGUCCUCUGCAAUGGUAUCCAUCAGGGUGGCCAGGCUAACCUUGUUUCUUCUUCAUCCUGGAAUAUUCUCCUGGAUAGAAUUGGGGAUCUUCUCAUGUGCUAUAUUCUGAGGCAUUCAUCAGUCUUUUUGCCCAUUAAAAAGAGUGAUUACUUUCAGGUGACUGGUGUUCCACUCAACAUUGUUCUGCACAAGCCUAUAUUUGCCAGUACCAUGGCAAGGAAACAACAAUCCAGAUCGAUAGAAGUCAAAUGCCCUACGUGCCACGUGUUGCGUAAUGCAAAGAUGAAACUAAACAUAACCGGAGGCAAUCGUGGCAACAGUUCAGACUCUGCAUUUUACUGUUCAGAUAACACUCAGAAAUGUGAUGCUCUACAAAGUUCUGGAAGUUGUGAUGCUGAAAGAGUUAUAAAGCCUAAUUGUUCAAGUGAUGGAUGUAACUGUUCCAAUUGCUUUACCCGGAAGCCUAGGAAAAGAAAAAGAUUGUACAGCUGGCAGCGCCGCAGUAAGCGGAAGCAGAUCUGUAAUGAAGAUAAGUUAACAGAGUUAAGUAAAUUAAACAACAGUAAUUAUGCUGUGUGUAAUCUCUUAUCAGAUGGCGCAGCUGCUGGAGUGAAUGGUCAAACACACUCCUUGAAGCGUACUGCAGAUAACAUUUCUAUUGGAAUGAACAAUGAUGAAUUUGUUUCACAAAUUGAAGAGCCAUGUGAUGUACCCGUCCUGUCAUUAAAGAAGUCACCUAGUUCUGUGUCAGAUACUAGUCCUUCCCAGGAUCUAUUUUGUGGUUACUGUAAAUCAGGAGUCCAAUGUACAAGUCCCAAAGUAGGACCCUCCAGCUACUCACAACUGAACAGUGGUUCCAUCUGCUUCAAUUGCUUAAUGUUGAAUGCUUCGAAAUGUGUGUCAGUAGAUUCUUUGAUACCAAGACAGGCCAUUUUCUAUAACAAAGGAUUAUCUGAGAAUGUCUUCCAUCGUAGCAACUUGACAAAUAAAAGGAAAGGACCAGACGCACUGUCUUUAUUGAAGCGCAUAUUUGGAAUCAAGGAAUGCUGCAUAAAGUUCGUCCAAUGUGAUUGCCAUGGAUCUUCCACACCAAAUUCUAAUUGCCUGUAUCAUUGGAUGCUUCAACUAGUGAAAAAUCUCAUAAGGAAUUCUAAACAUUGCCAGUACAAGAAACUAUUUCUGAAGCAUUGUUCUGUCAAGUCUAAGGUGGCAAAAGAUGGGUUCCCUUCAGGCAACAUAAAAUAUUCAAGAGGAGGAAAAUCAGCAUAUUGUGGUGAAUCUUUUGCUCAGUUGGAAGCUUACAGUACACAUCAGCAAGUACUAUCCUUUGUCUGGGCAGUGUUGACACGUAUCAUACCACAGCCUUUGUUAGGGAAUCCUUCUAGUAAGAGAUCAUUAAGGAUGAACAUUUGGAAGUUUAUAAGGUUACGUAGGUUUGAAACAUUUCAAGUAACUGAUUGUAUUGGUGACUUGAAAGCACCAGAAUAUUCUUGGCUAUCAAAAAUUGGAUUCACUAGUUGCAUUUGUUCUGUACUACUUGGAGAAGAGACUGGGCUGUCAAAUGGCACAGAGGAGCAGAAACAGAACAAUCUCUUGCAUUGUUGGAUUAGCUGGUUAUUUUCUGACAUUGUGAUCCCAUUGAUCAAUACAUACUUUUAUGUUACAGAAAGAGAAACAAAACGAUAUGAUGUUUUCUAUUAUCCAAAGUCAGUGUGGAGGAACCUAACUAGCAAUACUAUUGCUACCUUAAAGGCGCAGAGCUUCAAGAUUUUGUGUGGUACAUCGAGGAGAGCAAUAAAACAUUUGUACCGUUCUUCAAGAGUGAGAUUUCUUCCAAAAGCAAAGGAUAUCAGACCAUUAGUAAAUUUUAAAGCUCAGUCAAAGGAUGGUAUUCUCAACAAGUGUCAUUUAGUUAUUAAAAAAUUAAGGGCUGAUAACCCAGAGAUGUUUGGUUCUUCUGUUUUUGAUUAUGAUGAUGUUUACAAAAACCUUUCCAGUUUUAUGUCUUCAGUAAGAAGACAGUUGACAGAGUCAAAGAUAUAUAUUGUGGUUGCUGAUGUAUCCAAGGCAUUUGAUUGUGUUAAUCAUGACGUGCUACUGAAAAUUAUGGAUGAUGUUCUGAAAGGUGAUGAGUAUGCCUUGAGAAAAUGUACCAAAGUAAUUUACAGUAGGUCUAAGAAUGUGGCUUACCGCUUUGAUUCAAAUGUCUCCGUCAGCAAUGGAAACAGAAUUAAUGAUUUCUCAAUUCAGCCAUCAUCAGGUGGUGGCAUUCUAGUUGAUCAGGGAACUGUUAGUACAAUCCGGAAGGAAGAGCUUCAACGUGUCCUUUUCGAACAAGUCAAGUGCAAUAUUCUGAAGAUUGGGCCAAACUUUUACUUGCAGCAAGUAGGGAUUGCUCAAGGAAACAAGUUAUCUCCCAACCUUUGUUCCCUAUACUAUGGCCACCUUGAGAAUUCUGUGAUAUUGAAUUUUCUGCGUGAUGGAAAUUCAGGAGAUGCUAUUUCAGAACCGGAAUUUUUAAUGAUGAGGUUCAUUGAUGACUUCAUGUUUAUCUCUCUCUCAAAGAAGCAUGCUUUGAAUUUCUUUAAUAGGAUGAGAAGAGGUUUUGUGUACUACAAUACUUACAUGAAUGACAGCAAAUAUGGUUAUAAUUUCAACAUUGGAGAUAACGAGCAGUGCGAUAAUAGGAUCUACAGGGGCGAUGAUGGAGUCACUUUCAUACCAUGGAGUGGUUUGCUUAUAAACUGUGAAAAUUUAGAAAUUCAAGCUGAUUAUACAAGGUAUUUAGGCAUUACAAUCAUCUCCACGAUCACUGUGAAGAUGCAUUCUUCCAUGAAGUACCUUAGCAGCAAGCUAUGUCAUUAUAUGCGUCCGAAGUGCCAUCCCAUUUUUUACGACUCCAAUAUCAACUCACUGGGCACUGUAAGACUGAAUAUGUAUCAAGCCUUCCUGUUAUGCGCAAUGAAGUUCCAUUGCUAUAUGCGGAGCAUGCCUUAUUCCAGCAUAAGCAAACCCGAGUUGCUGCAUGUCAUUAAGAAGACCUUCAGAUACAUGCAUAGUCUGAUUGUCAGCCGUAUGCAAGAUAUGGAGCUGCAAUCCAAUGUGCGCCCAGUUCUAAAGCUAAGACGCAAAGAAACCAAUUGGCUUGGACUAUCUGCCUACAUCCGCGUGCUUCAAAAGAAACAAUCUCGUUACAAGGAUUUGUUGGCGUUGUUGAUAGCAGAGGCUGAGGGUUAUGGUCAUAUGGACUGUGAUUCUGACAGUUUGUGCUAUGCUGUGGAUGAUUCUCACUCGUCAAUGUUCUGGAAGUUCAAAUAUUAG
rnacentral:rRNA from 1 species